rnacentral:tRNA from 1 species
AUUUAUAUAGUAUAUUCAUUACAUUUAAACUCCAUUUAAAAAAAUUACUAAUUAAUAUAAAUA